GAUGAACGCUGGCGGCGUGCUUAACACAUGCAAGUCGAACGAAGCACUUUAUUUGAUUUCCUUCGGGACUGAUUAUUUUGUGACUGAGUGGCGGACGGGUGAGUAACGCGUGGGUAACCUGCCUUGUACAGGGGGAUAACAGUUGGAAACGGCUGCUAAUACCGCAUAAGCGCACGGCAUCGCAUGAUGCAGUGUGAAAAACUCCGGUGGUAUAAGAUGGACCCGCGUUGGAUUAGCUAGUUGGUGAGGUAACGGCCCACCAAGGCGACGAUCCAUAGCCACCCGGGAGGGGUGACCGGCACAAUGGGGAUGGAGACAGGGCCCAAACCCCUCCGGGGGGGCGAAGGGGGGAAUAUUGAACAGUGGGCGAAAGCCUGAGGCAGGGACGCCGGGGGGGCGAAAAAGUAUUUCGGUAUGUAAAGCUCUAUCGGCAGGGAAGAUAAGGAGGGUACCGGACUAAGAAGCCCGGGAUAAAUCGGG
rnacentral:rRNA from 1 species